rnacentral:tRNA from 1 species
GUCGUUGUAGUAUAGGGGUAAGUAUUCCCGCCUGUCACCCGGGUGACCCGGGUUCGAUCCCCGGCAACGGCG